rnacentral:rRNA from 1 species
ACGUAGGGGGCUAGCGUUAUCCGGAUUUACUGGGCGUAAAGGGUGCGUAGGUGGUCUUUCAAGUCGGUGGUUAAAGGCUACGGCUCAACCGUAGUUAGCCUCCGAAACUGGAAGACUUGAGUGCAGGAGAGGAAAGUGGAAUUCCCAGUGUAGCGGUGAAAUGCGUAGAUAUUGGGAGGAACACCAGUAGCGAAGGCGGCUUUCUGGACUGCAACUGACACUGAGGCACGAAAGCGUGGGUAGCAAACAG